rnacentral:rRNA from 1 species
CGUGUAGGCGGCUUGGCAAGUCGGGUGUGAAAUCCCGGGGCCCAACCCCGGAACUGCAUUCGAAACUGCCUCGCUAGAGUCCCGGAGAGGAAGGCGGAAUUCCCGGUGUAGAGGUGAAAUUCGUAGAUAUCGGGAGGAACACCAGCGGCGAAGGCGGCCUUCUGGACGGUGACUGACGCUGAGACGCGAAAGCGUGGGGAGCAAACAGGAUUAGAUACCCUGGUAGUCCACGCCGUAAACGUUGGGUGCUAGGUGUCGCGGGUAUUGACCCCUGCGGUGCCGACGCUAACGCAUUAAGCACCCCGCCUGGGAAGUACGGUCGCAAGGCUAAA